rnacentral:rRNA from 1 species
UACAGAGGUCUCAAGCGUUGUUCGGAUUCAUUGGGCGUAAAGGGUGCGUAGGCGGCGCGGUAAGUCGGGUGUGAAAUCUUGGAGCUUAACUCCGAAACUGCAUUCGAUACUGCCGUGCUUGAGGACUGGAGAGGAGACUGGAAUUUACGGUGUAGCGGUGAAAUGCGUAGAUAUCGUAAGGGAAGACCAGUGGCGAAGGCGGGUCUCUGGAC